rnacentral:lncRNA from 1 species
GGAUCUCGUAGAAGUCUAUCCACUAUAUUAUUAACAUGGAUUAUUUUUUUGGUUUUUAUUAGCACGCAAGUUAGUCUGUUCAGAUUGUGUUGAAUGGCCAGGAGGAAAGGGGAAUCUGACAUUGAAAGGAAUUCCGACAAUAAAGGGAAGUUAGUCCAUUGUUGCACCUACGAUUAUAGGUUUUCCAAGUUUUCUAAAGUUUUGCCCGACAAGGAGUAUCUAUUGCACGGUGAAUCAAGUGGAAUGAGUUUCAAGUUUCUAAAUUUGUCCCAUAUGGUGUAAACGUGUGCAAAAAUAACCGAGAGGAACUUGGAGAUUUCGCUCAACAUAACCAUGCGCAAGGGGAAACGAGUUUUGCAAGAUUUAAUAUGAAAUAUGUAUAAUUGGAUGAGCUUGACUUAUUGUAAUUAUUUGGUUUCAUGAACAAGACUCGAACUGUGUAAUUUGCCUAGUCCAUAUCAAUUUUAGGUGUUUGAUAAUGUUAUGACCAUUAUAUACGGUGAUUUUAGUUGGAAAAAAUUUUGAUAUCACUUUGUUACGUUUCAAGCAAUGUUACCUGUUUCGAAAUGGACAAUCACCAAUACUGAAAACAACCA